rnacentral:rRNA from 1 species
UCAGCAGCCCCCGGUAAUUCCAGCUCCAAUAGCGUAUAUUAAAGUUGUUGUGGUUAAAAAGCUCGUAGUUGAACCUUGGGCCUGGCUGGCCGGUCCGCCUCACCGCGUGCACUGGUCCGGCCGGGCCUUUCCCUCUGCGGAACCCCAUGCCCUUCACUGGGUGUGGCGGGGAAACAGGACUUUUACUUUGAAAAAAUUAGAGUGCUCAAGGCAGGCCUAUGCUCGAAUACAUUAGCAUGGAAUAAUAGAAUAGGACGUGUGGUUCUAUUUUGUUGGUUUCUAGGACCGCCGUAAUGAUUAAUAGGGACAGUCGGGGGCAUCAGUAUUCAAUUGUCAGAGGUGAAAUUCUUGGAUUUAUUGAAGACUAACUACUGCGAAAGCAUUUGCCAAGGAUGUUUUCAUUAAUCAGGAACGAAAGUUAGGGGAUCGAAGACGAUCAGAUACCGUCGUAGUCUUAACCAUAAACUAUGCCGACUAGGGAUCGGACGAUGUUACAUUUUUGACGCGUUCGGCACCUUACGAGAAAUCAAAGUGCUUGGGCUCCAGGGGGAGUAUGGUCGCAAGGCUGAAACUUAAAGAAAUUGACGGAAGGGCACCACCAGGGGUGGAGCCUGCGGCUUAAUUUGAUCCAAACACGGGA